CACCAGUCACUGGAUAGUAACAGUUACUUGGAUAACUGCGGUAAUUCUGGAGCUAAUACAUGCAUAAAGCCCCAACUCACGAAGGGGCGCUUUUAUUAGAUCAAAACCAAACGGNCUUCGGNCUGUACUCUUGNGUGAUUCUGAAUAACUUUNGGGCUGAUCGCAUAGCCNNUUGCGCUGGCGACAUAUCCUUACGAAGGUGUGCCNCUAUCAACUGGUCGACUGGGUGGCAUAGACGCCCACAGUGGGUUUUGACGGNGUAACNGGGGAAUCAGGGNUUCGAUUCCGNGAGAGGGAGCCUUAAAAACGGNCUACCACAUCUAAGGGAAGGCAGCAGGCUACGCAAAUUACCCAAUNGACCGAAGGUCNGAGGUAGUGACGAAAAAUAACGAUAGCGNGUCUCAUCCGAAAGGUACGCUAAUUGNGAAUGAGUACACUUNUAAAACCGUCCCCNGAGGAUCUAUUGGAG
rnacentral:rRNA from 1 species